GCGGACUGAAUCCUUUGCAGACGACUAAAUACGCGACGGGGUAUGUAAGUGGCAGAGUGGCCUUGCUGCCACGAUCCACUGAGAUUCAGCCCUUCGUCGCUCCGAUUCGU
rnacentral:ncRNA from 1 species